rnacentral:rRNA from 1 species
AACGCGAAGAACCUUACCUACCCUUGACAUCCUGCGAAUCCCGAUGAGAGUUGGGAGUGCCGAAAGGAACGCAGAGACAGGUGCUGCAUGGCUGUCGUCAGCUCGUGUUGUGAGAUGUUGGGUUAAGUCCCGUAACGAGCGCAACCCUUGUCCUUAGUUACCAGCAAGUAAAGUUGGGGACUCUAAGGAGACUGCCGGUGAUGAACCGGAGGAAGGCGGGGACGACGUCAAGUCAUCAUGGCCUUUAUGGGUAGGGCUACACACGUGCUACAAUGGGGCGUACAGAGGGUAGCCAACCCGCGAGGGGGAGCCAAUCUCAGAAAGCGCCUCGUAGUCCGGAUUGGAGUCUGCAACUCGACUCCAUGAAGUUGGAAUCGCUAGUAAUCGCGAAUCAGCAUUGUCGCGGUGAAUACGUUCCCGGGCCUUGUACACACCGAGACGUA